AUUGAACGCUGGCGGAAUGCUUUACACAUGCAAGUCGAACGGUAGAGGGGGCAACCCCUUGAGAGUGGCGAACGGGUGAGUAAUAUAUCGGAACGUGCCCAGUCGUGGGGAUAACGUAGCGAAAGUUACGCUAAUACCGCAUACGAUCUACGGAUGAAAGCGGGGGACUCGCAAGAGCCUCGCGCGAUUGGAGCGGCCGAUAUCAGAUUAGGUAGUUGGUGGGGUAAAGGCUCACCAAGCCAACGAUCUGUAGCUGGUCUGAGAGGACGACCAGCCACACUGGAACUGAGACACGGUCCAGACUCCUACGGGAGGCAGCAGUGGGGAAUUUUGGACAAUGGACGCAAGUCUGAUCCAGCCAUUCCGCGUGCAGGAUGAAGGCCCUCGGGUUGUAAACUGUCUUUGUACGGAACGAAAAGGUUCUAUUAAUACUAGAGCUCAUGACGGUACCGUAAGAAUAAGCACCGGCUAACUACGUGCCAGCAGCCGCGGUAAAGUAGACG
rnacentral:rRNA from 1 species